UUUGCCAUUAUCCUGAAUUCCGAUUAGUAAGAAUAAAAGUGACGUUAUUGGUUAGAGUAUCCUUAAAUCAACUACUCCAAAGUCAACUACCCCGACAAUCCAACUCAGAAGCUAACUAUUCUGUCUUUCAAAUCAACCACCCUUCAUUCUUAAACUACUCCUUCAAAUUCCAUCAAAAUCAAAUACUCAAAUAUGGCGAUGCCUUGGAGUAUGACGUUCUGGAUAUCAAAGAUGAUAUGGUUGGCACUUGCUGGUUGGAUUUCUUCUUGUUUAAUCGUUGCCGAUGAAAUUGCCAGCUCUAUUCGUACUGGUGAUAUUGGUGCCUUUCAUGUCGGUUGAUUUCUUCCCUUUUUAUAAUAAUUUUUGAAUGAAAGAGCAUCGUAAGCUGCCAGAAUCUGUCUUGGAUUCUUGGGUGCUUGGAGGUGAUCUCGUGUUAUUCUGUAUAUUCUGUUCCUAGAACUUUGGUCCAUAGCAGCAAGAAUUGUUUUGAGUACUUCUUGAGCAUUAGGAUUAUCUGGUACUGAGGCCAUGUAUCGGUGAUUCCAGUGGCAGUGACAUGCUUCUGCUAUCCUUAUGUCAGAUUGCUAGGAUAAAGUAGCAUUCCCAACUCCCAAGCCCCCAAUGCCCAGGCCAAGUCAAAGGCGAGCCCUGAGGUUGCUGUGGUUUAGGCCAAGCAGCUCAUUCUCACUGCUUCCAUUUUCAGAGAUGCACGUGAGCAUAUAGGCCUAUGAAGCAAUUUAGGUUAAUUUUUUUUUUUAACUGAUACACGAGGUUUCUUAUGAGAAGUUCAAUGGGCUGCUCAGUCAACUCCGACGUUCUCAAGGCAUGGUGCUGCCCUUACUUUGGAUGAGAUCGUUUCUCUGAUAUUGUUGUAUGGAUCAUUGUGCAAAUAUUAGGAAAAUAUGGAAUUAGAUGUGGCUAUGUUUCAUGAAAUUUUUGAAUGAACAUGUAAUUUCUGUGUGAUCAAUGUGUCUAACUUUGUAUCUGAUUGAGGCAUCCUGUAAUGUUUUCAGAACAUUUUUGCAGGAAGCAUUAGUCUUCCACCACAUUUGUAAUCCCUACAAAGAAAAUGAGGAUUUUGUAUA